rnacentral:rRNA from 1 species
GGAAGUAAAAGUCGUAACAAGGUUUCCGUAGGUGAACCUGCGGAAGGAUCAUUAAAAAAUUUAUUAUACACACAUUUUAAUUUUAUAAACUAAACUAAACUUAUUAAAUCAACCAAAAAAAAAAAAUCAAAACUUUCAACAACGGAUCUCUUGGUUCUCGCAUCGAUGAAGAACGCAGCGAAAUGCGAUACGUAAUACGAAUCGCAGCUCUCGGAAUCAUCGAAUCUUUGAACGCACAUUGCACCAUGGGGUAUUCCCCAUGGUAUGCCUGUUUGAGCAAUUGUUUCUCUAAUCCUCUUGGAUUGUAUUGUAUUAACAAAAAGUAUUAAUUGACACUAUAAAAUUAAGUGCUUCAUUUCAUUAAACUUAAUUCUCAAAUCAGGUAGGACUACCCGCUGAACUUAAGCAUAUCAAUAAGCGGAGGA